rnacentral:rRNA from 1 species
UGGGGAAUUUUGGACAAUGGGGGAAACCCUGAUCCAGCCAUCCCGCGUGUGCGAUGAAGGCCUUCGGGUUGUAAAGCACUUUUGGUAGGAAAGAAACGUCAUGGGUUAAUACCCCGCGAAACUGACGGUACCUGCAGAAUAAGCACCGGCUAACUACGUGCCAGCAGCCGCGGUAAUACGUAGGGUGCGAGCGUUAAUCGGAAUUACUGGGCGUAAAGCGUGCGCAGGCGGUUCGGAAAGAAAGAUGUGAAAUCCCAGAGCUCAACUUUGGAACUGCAUUUUUAACUACAGGGCUAGAGUGUGUCAGAGGGAGGUGGAAUUCCGCGUGUAGCAGUGAAAUGCGUAGAUAUGCGGAGGAACACCGAUGGCGAAGGCAGCCUCCUGGGAUAACACUGACGCUCAUGCACGAAAGCGUGGGGAGCAAACAGG